rnacentral:ribozyme from 13 species
UGUUUUUUUUUUUUUUAUCCUUGUACAAUGUAUUUAUUUUUUUCAAUUUUUAAAAAAAAAAAACAAAAGAAGGUCG